CUGCUGCCUCCCGUAGGAGUUUGGGCCGUGUCUCAGUCCCAAUGUGGCCGUCCACCCUCUCAGGCCGGCUACUGAUCGUCGCUUUGGUAGGCCGUUACCCUGCCAACUGGCUAAUCAGACGCGGGUCCAUCAUAUACCACCGGAGUUUUUCACACUGAGUCAUGCGACUCCGUGCGCUUAUGCGGUUUUAGCAGCAAUUUCUCGCUGUUAUCCCCCUGUAUAUGGCAGGUUACCCACGCGUUACUCACCCGUCCCG
rnacentral:rRNA from 1 species